CGAAAGAGGGGACAGUCGCAAACGCUUUCCAAACAACAAACGCAAUUAAAAACGCAUAUUUUCGAACAAAUGGGCGAAACAAUGCCCAUACGUCGUGUUCGUCGCUGUCCAGCUCGCGAAUACCGAACGUGUGAUAUUGGAGAAGAUUAUUAUCGGUCAGCCGUGGCAUUCUUUCAGGUCCAUUAUAUCCUUUCAGCGGAAAAUAGCGCCGCCUCGGGGGCACCCACGGCUCGCUGACUGACUGAAUGGCUAGCUGGCUGCUGCUGCCGUUGGAGAAGUGAAUAAGGAGAAGAUGGGAUAUUGCGUUGGCUCGUUUUACUCCGGCAUUUUUAACCUGGUUCCCCUACGCAAUGGACGAAGGAUGGCUCCUGUUUGCGGUCAGCGAUGUGUGAAAUUAUGAAAUUUUAUUGCCAUUCCUUCCUGGAGGCUUGUAUCAGACGCGUGAUGGCAUUGACUGGAAGGUGAAUUCCACUUGGAUGGAUGAUAACUUGAACUGGGGAGAACGCUAAUCCUGUCAUGAAUCAUUUCCAGGACGGGGUUCAACUUCAAUAUGUCCAGCAGUGUUUAAACAACCAUUCCAUUAUUGUUUCAGUUUAAGCUGUUGAAUUCGAAAUAAGGACAUAAAAAGCUUAUAAGAAUCACCUAGGCAGCGUCCAUUUAUCACGUAA